GACGAACGCUGGCGGCGUGCUUAACACAUGCAAGUCGAACGGAAAGGCCUGCUUUCCCUUGUGGAUUGCGGGUACUCGAGUGGCGAACGGGUGAGUAACACGUGAGUGAUCUGCCCCCAACUUGGGUAUAAGCCUGGGAAACUGGGUCUAAUUCCCGAUAGGACUGCAGGGUGGUGCCUGUGGUGGAAAACGAUUUUCUAGUGGUUGGGGAUGAGCUCGCGGCCUAUCAGCUUGUUGGUGGGGUAAUGGCCUACCAAGGCGGCGACGGGUAGCCGGCCUGAGAGGGUGGACGGCCACAUUGGGACUGAGAUACGGCCCAGACUCCUACGGGAGGCAGCAGUGGGGAAUAUUGCACAAUGGGCGGAAGCCUGAUGCAGCGACGCCGCGUGGGGGAUGACGGCCUUCGGGUUGUAAACUCCUUUCGACCGCGAGGAAGCCACCUGGUGGGAAGGGUGGUGACGGUAGUGGUAGAAGAAGCACCGGCUAACUACGU
rnacentral:rRNA from 1 species